AUGUUACAUUUACACACUGCAGACCUGGUCCAACUUUGAUUGAAGUAGAUGGAAAGUUCCACUAACUUCAAUGGAAGGUGAAUUGUAUUCUGGCACAGAUGUUGGGAAUCAAUAUUUUUCCCUUGAUCCACAGUCUACCUCUGUAUUUUUCCAGUUUAUAUUUACUGUAACAUACUAUUAUCCUCAGUUUACUAGUGAAGAAAUUAAUUUCAGGAACAGCUGUUUGGGAACAUCACUUUGGCACUUGUCAAAAAAUGUAAGAAGUGUCCCAUGCUGAUCUUGUUUUAGUCAUUCACUAAAGUAGUUUCAAUGAUACAAACCAAGGAGUCAUCUUAGGCAAGAGAAGGUCCAAAGAUUAAAAUGUGCCUCCUUGUCACGAUUUGCUCAUUAACUUUUGCAAACUACCCUAUUGCAGGACAAAAAUUAACUGAGAAGAGUACCUGCCUCUGGUUUUAAGGAUCAUGAUUAUUCAAGCCCUGUCUACUCUAAGGAAAUCCACAACAAUGCAACUGUAUUGCUGUCACUACUUCAGUGCAAACAUCUAAUGUAGACAUGUUAAACUGGCACAAAGCUGGUCUUACACAGUGCAGUUUACUUCGGCCUCUCACCAGAUUACACCAUGCUUUGCACUGGUACAGCCAGUCUACAUUAGGGGUUUUUGCUGCUGUAACUAUAUUAUUGUUGUUACUAUAAUUACAUUAAUGUGUUUAUACCAAUGUGAAUUUCCUUAAUGUAGACAGGGCCUGAUCCCGACUGGAAAAUUCUUACCUGCUCAUUUCCUUUUUAAUUGCUUUGGAGGAAACACUGGGGAUGUGGCUAUGCCCACCUGUCAGGCUGUCAAAGAGUUCUUCCAAAGCUCUGGAGGUAACAUUUGGAAAACCAAGCUAAAAUGUAAUAUCUUCUCACUGUGAAACAGAUGGCAAAAUACGACCGUUCCAUUUCUAUAUACACCAAUUCACUGUUUGCUAUGGAACCCCUCAUUAACAUAGGUAAACUUAGUGCCUUUGGUGGGACGGAUUAGUGGAAACAUUUACAGGAGAAAGGAAAUGAGCAGAUAAGACAUUCCCACUCUCUUACAUAAUGUCUCCAUUAAUCUUUACUGAAGGGAAACAACAAGAAACAAAUGGGGUAGAGGGAGAAGGCGAUAGUAAACCCAGUGGUUUGGAGCUGUGUUCCGGCUCCAUUCCAGCUCCAGGCAAAAACCUGCAGCUCCACUGCUCCGGAGCUGCUCUGCACUCCAGCUCUGGGCUCCACUCCAAAGCCCUGCCCAGUGGGACCCUUGAUAUUUAGCUGACUGGAGCACCCUUGUCCUCGAGACAUCAGCGGAUGCUUAAAAGAUGAGCUUGUAAUCCUUGAUGGAAAUAGGAAGAGAGAACUAUGUUGCAGCCUUGUAUCUCUCUUCCACUGAGUAGCUUUAAUGUCAUUGGGAUUGGUUUUUCUGAGGUUACAGCUUUGCAACAGUGUAUCCAGCUCUCAAUAGAAGGUUUAAAAUGAUAUUUGACCUUUGCAUGUUGGACGCUAUGAGAGAAAUCAUGCUUAAGCUUCCUUAAAAUGUAUGUAAUUGUUUUAAGCAGUACAAGGCCCCUGCAGUCAUCCAAAGCAUGCCAAACUAUUUCUUGAGGGAGUUUCUUUUAUAAACACUUGAGUAUUGUUUAAUUUUAACUAAAGCUCAAUAAAAACACCUGAAGUUAAAGUGAAUCCACCUGAUUGUACUGUCUGCUUAGUAGGGCUGUUUUUAAUCACACAAGGAGAACAGGAUAUUGCCCAGGGCAGCAAAGUGUACAAGGAUUGUUUAUGUGAGUGACUGAGUGUAGACCAUCAGGAAUGUACACAUUGUCCAGUUAGCCUAGGGUAGCAACUCCUGUAGGAUCACAGCGCUGGCUUCUCAGUUCAUCAGUAAAUAACUCAGAUCACUACAAAUUCUCAGCCUUGCUAUCUGCAGACCACCCACAGUGCGCAAAGUACUACCUAGAUGCACAAAUCACACUAAUUGAUUUCCUUGCCUUUUACUUUUCUCAGCUGAAGCAAAUAAGCAAGAGAAAGUCACCCCUCCUUGCUCUCUUCAGUCAAACAUCAACUUCUGGAAGAAGCCACAUGCAGAUGCUUUGAUUCCUAUGUUGUAGGAUCACUCACACUCUGGCACAGAGACAUGACUGAUGUGAGGAAAUCUAAGUAUUCACAGAGUAAGAGGACUUUAAGGAGGAAUUUGAAGGAGACAGUAGGGUGCUUAGUGCCUGCAAAAGAGGAAACUUUUUCAAGCAUGGAGUGGCAUGGAGAGUAAAAGUGAAAACGGGAGAAGGCUCAAAAAGUACAUCAUUGUACACAAGUUCCCAGAAGAGUCCUUGGAACGCAGCAAAGGAAACAGACCUUGAAACUCCAUAUGGAACGUCUGCAUCUCGAACUGGACGCUGGAACCACAGCGCAAAUGGAUGGGACACAAAGUAUUUGGGAAACGAAUGCUUCCGUCUGUUCCAGUUUGGUGUCAAUGGGUCUUCCUGAAAGAAACAGAAACACAGUCAUGUUGCACAAUCUAAUGCAGCAAUAUUUUAUCUGUUUAAUUAAAAGCAUACCUAACUCUUUCCACUCUAAUUAACUUUUGCUUCAUAGGCUAGGAUUGGAAUGUAUCACUUGUGAACAAGCUUAUGGGAAGGAGUGCCCUCUACUGGGGCUGUCUCUUUAGGGAGCUGUUCAGUUCAGAACUAGUGACCAAAGAAGGAGAAAUAACAAGCCACAUGUAUCAGGUACAAACAGAGUUGUAUGAAACUUGCUGGUUUUGGGCCAUGGGGAUUUGGUUUCAAUCCAUGUUGGCUCAGACACUCUGCCCUAAAUUCACCCUGGUGUAAAUCUAUUUUCUCCAGCUGAGUUUCAUGAGGGAUGAAUUUGACCUCCUGAGUUUCACUUUGAAUUUUGGAUGCUAACCCUAGACUCAAAGUGAAAGUUGAUUCUACCAAGUUUCUCCUAGUGUCAUGUGGAAACUGUGCAAAAUGGUGAAUUUCACUCAGCUUUGAUGGGAAGCCACAAAUGGCACCAAGGUCAUUCAACUGAUUCACAGAGAGACUGGCUUGAGUUAUUUUUGCAUAACCACAAGGUGGGCAAGUUUCAUGCAGUUUUGGGUUUUCUUAUGAAAAUGUUGCAGAGCUCUAAAUGGGAGAGGGUGCUCCCUAUGGUAAAAGGGGCUAUGUCUCACUCCUUCCCUGCAGCCACCAUGCCCUGAGAGAUCCAUUCCAGGGGUCAAUGUUUCUGUCACAAGAAAAUCCUAAAAGUUUUGUUAUGAAAAACAAUCUUUACAAGAGGCCACAGGUUCUGGCCCCUCAGAAGGAACCAUUCCAAGAUGGUAGCUGCCAGCACCUCCUCUGAGAUGUCUAGAUGUCUUUCCACAACUGCUGGGAAUAAUAAAUAAUACUUGCCCUGCUAUAGUGCCUUCCAUUCAAAGAUCCCAAAGCACUUUGCAAACGUUAAUGAGCUGAGUCUCACAAUAACCCCUCCUCCCCCCAGUGAAAUACGGCACAGGAAGGCUAAAGGCCAGGAUUUCAAAAAUGGCCUCUGAUUUUGUCUCUCUCAGGUUUGGGUGCCCAACUAGAGAUACUUUGGGCUUGAUGUUCAAGAUUCUGAAUAUUUAUAGUACCCAUUGACUUCAAAUGGCGUUGCAAGGGCUCAGUGCCCCUGACAAGCAGGACCAAGAUGCCUGAAGUUGGGCACCCAAAGUCAGAGACCAUUGGAUAAAGAUCAUUCCAUAGACGACUUGUCAAAGAUUAUGCAGUAAGUCUGUGGCAGAACCUCAGCCUCCUGACUGCCAGUCCUAUUCUAUAGCCAGAAGACAUGCUGCUUCUUAGGAGGCCCAACCCUCAUCCCACAGAAGACAAUGGGAAACAUUUGCUAAAACAGCUUUUCAAUACAUAAUAAUAUGAAGAUCUUAAGGUCUGAUACAUCACAAGCUAACCAGUAUAGAAACUAUUUAUAAUCCUUUUAGGAAUUUAAAUCUGUCAGUGGUCCAGGACUGAAUACUCCCCAUUGUGGGCCUUGUCUGGUGUAAUUUUCGGUAGAAAUUUCUCAUUUGGGAAAGACACAUCAGGCUGAUUUUUAGAAAUAAGUAAAUAAAAUAGUGGCUAUUCAAGAGCUACUCACACUCAGAGAUGGAUCAGGGGUAGAGCGUGAGUGAGAUCAAAGGUGCAUGAUAAAUGCAUGUGUCAUAUAGCACUGCAGUGUAUUCCAUGGCUGUGAGCAACACACAUGUGGUGUGUGUAUAUUGAAAGUCAGAUCCCUGGCUGGAGUAAAAUGGAAUAGCAGAGUUGAAGAUAUGACCCUGUAUGUAUGUAUGUAUCAGUUUUGUAAGAAAAAGUUUUCCUUUCAAAAGAGAUUUCCAAAUUACUUGUGUUUUUGUAAAUCAGUAAAAGAAAAGCGUAAUAGCCUGUGGGAAAAGAAUGCACUGUUGUGUUUACUCUUGUAAGGCCAAGCUAGACAACACAAGUCCGAGAGCGAAAUUCCUUGAAACCAACUUAUAGCAUACUAGAACCAGACUCCCAGUCUUUCUGUUUCUCUUGGAGUUUUAUUUUACCAGCAUCAGCAGGGCUGCAGUUAUUAAGAGUAAACUGAUUUUCCAUUGUAACCCCCAAUUCCUGUGCUUUAAUAUCUCAGCUGAUUCAAAAUGCAUCCCAUGUAGUGUAAUUUUAUUUUUGUAUUUUUUUUUGUAAUAAAACAAACCACCUAGUUUGAGAUGUUAGUUACUGAUUAGCAAAUAAAUACAUGAAUCCUAAUUUGAACCACAGCACUGCAGGGAAAGUAUGUAUUUAAACAAUAUUGCUA